GUGCUCGCUUUGGCAGCACAUAUACUAAAAUUGGAAAGAUAGAGAGGAGGUUAGCAUGGCCCCUGUGCAAGGAUGAGACGUAGGUUCGUGAAGUGUUCCCUAUCUUA